AUGGUGUUAAGGAAGGUUAUCAGCCACUUUACUAUCCUACUGUCAUUUGUGAAGCUCUUUGAGACAAAGUAUUGGAUUCCCAACUCAUUUACGAGGGAAACGAGUGUGUGUGUGUGUGUGUGUGUGUGUGUGUGUGUAGUACCUAUUAAAAUAAAGCAAAGCUCGAUUUGUGUAGAGCUCAGUUUGGGAAUGAAGAACAAAGGGUCAACAAUAAUACAUCGAACCAGAGAGUUGGUCAAAAUUAAGCUAUUAAAAUGAAUUUCAUGAUGUAUGUUCCAUUUUUUUUUCUCAUAGUCACAGAAAAUAGAACAUUAACGAUGUCUGCUGUGUUGUAUCUCCAAGCAGGAAAACAAGUAAGUGUACUGGUCAGGAAAGGCAAGGUUAAGCUAUAGUCAGAAACAUCCCAUUCAUUUCAGUGGGUUCUGUUGAAAGAUUAUUUACUUCUCAGACUCCAUGUUCAUCACUGGUAUUGGGGGCCCAGACUGAUGGAGCCGCCACCUUCUCAAGUGCUCUGGAUCAUGAUGGCAGAGGAGAAAAGUUGGGCUAAGUCAGUGCUGUGGGCCAGAUUCCACCCAUGUCAUAACACGUCAGCUGCAACCAGUCAUGUGACCCCGCCCGACAAUACGUGGACCAGGAAGGAUGCAAUACUACCCUGAGUUCAGAGGGAGAGAACUGGAAAUAUCCGGUAAAUAGCAGCUAUGAUGACCAUCCUUCACCCUCCUGAUGAUGAAAUGUUUGAACCUCAGAGGCAAAUACACUCACUCUCUAAGGGAGACAACCCAAAAGUCUUUUCCAAGGUCAAAGUCUAGGCUCUCCAGUGGUGUGCAGUCUUUGUUCACAGAGGAAUAUAUUCUGGUCCCUGUAUCAAUUAUGGAUAUGGCUUGUCCUAGAUCAGGAACUCAGGGAACCAAACAGAUAAUAUGCUUUUCUCUUUCCUACAACACAAUGGACAAAGGUUGAUUUGGAAUAAGGUAACCCUAAUAAAUAUUCCCUUUCAGAAAGAAGAGAGAUGGAA
rnacentral:lncRNA from 1 species